UACGUAGGCAGCAAGCGUUGUUCGGAGUUACUGGGCGUAAAGGGUGUGUAGGCGGUUCUUUAAGUUUGGUGUGAAAUCUCCCGGCUCAACCGGGAGGGUGCGCCGAAUACUGAGGGACUAGAGUGCGGGAGAGGAAAGUGGAAUUCCUGGUGUAGCGGUGAAAUGCGUAGAGUAUCAGGAGGAACACCGGUGGUGUAGACGGCUUUCUGGACCGUAACUGACGCUGAGACACGAAAGCGUGGGUAGCAAACAGG
rnacentral:rRNA from 1 species